AGUGAACGCUGGCGGUAGGCCUAACACAUGCAAGUCGAACGGCAGCACAGUAAGAGCUUGCUCUUACGGUUGGCGAGUGGCGGACGGGUGAGGAAUACAUCGGAAUCUACUUUUUCGUGGGGGAUAACGUAGGGAAACUUACGCUAAUACCGCAUACGACCUACGGGUGAAAGCAGGGGAUCUUCGGACCUUGCGCGAUUGAAUGAGCCGAUGUCGGAUUAGCUAGUUGGCGGGGUAAAGGCCCACCAAGGCGACGAUCCGUAGCUGGUCUGAGAGGAUGAUCAGCCACACUGGAACUGAGACACGGUCCAGACUCCUACGGGAGGCAGCAGUGGGGAAUAUUGGACAAUGGGCGCAAGCUUGAUCCAGCAAUACCGCGUGGGUGAAGAAGGCCUUCGGGUUGUAAAGCCCUUUUGUUGGGAAAGAAAAGCAGCAGGUUAAUACCCCGCUGUUCUGACGGUACCCAAAGAAUAAGCACCGGCUAACUUCGUG
rnacentral:rRNA from 1 species